AGCAAAGUCAAUAUUAUUCCAUUAAUGUCAACCAAAACAUCACAAACCAUUAGAAAAUUACAAAGGAAUUAUUAAAAAAAGGCACGAAAAUAUGUUAUUUGCCUCCAAAACACUGACCAAACAAACACAUAACAGAGCAAUAACAAAGGCCUGUUUGUCUACACACCAAUAAAAAACCAAUUUCCCUGUUCAACCACCUUGGGUAGGAAAGGGACCUAGCAUGUUCAGCUGACUUCUCAACCUCCCACUAGGAAAAAAAAAAGCCCAAACAAGCUGUAAGAUCUCUGUUUUAAAACAGGUGGUUGUUCUUCUAAUCAUGCAAAAAUGAUUAGAAAAAC
rnacentral:misc_RNA from 1 species